CUUUUAUUAUUUUCAUUUUACAGAUAAAGAAACUAAUGCUGAGAGAAGUUAAAUAAUAUGCUCAAGGACAUACAAGUUAUAUGGCAGAGCUGGGAUUCCCUUCAGUAAUUCAACUUUAUGUCCUAAACCUUAAUCAUUAUGUUCCUGGAUACGCAGUACUUCCUAACACAGGUGCCUUUGUACCUAAGAGACAGUCAUGAACAGAAUUUGCAAUGGAAAUACACUGGAGGAAACACACUGGAGGAAAAUACACAUUCUCUGAAAUUUGAAGCCAAAGAAAAGCUUCCAGAGAAAGAAAAUGAGAAAGUCUCAAGAAUUAAAUGGAGUUGUCAUAAAAAAAGAGAGAAGGGCAGAAAGAGAGACAUUCUGCAAGUACAAGGCAUGGAAAUAAGAGCCAGCUCUGCAUAUUCAACGACCGUCAAGUUCAGUGUUGACAGGAACAAAGCACUGGGGUAGAAAUGGUGGCCACAGACAA
rnacentral:lncRNA from 1 species